rnacentral:rRNA from 1 species
UACCUGCAGCUCGAGUGGUAACCGCUAUUAUUGGGCCUAAAGCGUCCGUAGCCGGUUUGGUAAAUAUCUGGGUAAAUCGUGGGGCUUAACUUCACGAAUUUCGGAUAGACUGCCAGACUUGGGAUCGGGGGAGGUCAGAGGUACUCCAGGGGUAGCGGUGAAAUGUUGUAAUCCUUGGAGGACCACCGGUAGCGAAGGCGUCCGACUAGAACGAGUCCGACGGUGAGGGACGAAGCCCUGGGGCGCAAACCGGAUUAGAUACCCGGGUAGUCCAGGGUGUAAACAAUGUGGGCUUUGUAUUGGAGGUCCCACGUGGGCGUCCAGUGCAGAAGAGAAGUUGUUAAAGCCCACCGCCUGGGAAGUACGGUCGCAAGGCUGAAACUUAAAGGAAUUGGCGGGGGAGCACAGCAACGGGAGGAGCGUGCGGUUU